ACGGGAGGCAGCAGCUAAGAAUAUUCCGCAAUGGACGAAAGUCUGACGGAGCGACGCCGCGUGGAUGAUGAAGGCCGGAAGGUUGUAAAAUCCUUUAGAAAGCGAGGAAUAAGUAGUGUAGGGAAUGACACUAUGGUGACUGUAGCUUUAGAAUAAGCACCGGCUAAUUACGUGCCAGCAGCCGCGGUAACACGUAAGGUGCGAGCGUUGUUCGGAAUUAUUGGGCGUAAAGGGCAUGUAGGCGGUCUGUUAAGUCUGGUGUGAAAUCCCGGGGCUCAACUCCGGAACUGCAUUGGAAACUGAUAGACUAGAGUUAAUGAGGGGAAACCGGAAUUCCUAGUGUAGGGGUGAAAUCUGUAGAUAUUAGGAAGAACACCAAUGGCGAAGGCAGGUUUCCAGCAUAUAACUGACGCUGAGGUGCGAAGGUGCGGGGAGCAAACAGGAUUAGAUACCCUGGUA
rnacentral:rRNA from 1 species